CUACCAGACUCCUACGGGAGGCAGCAGUGGGGGAUAUUGCACAAUGGGGGGAACCCUGAUGCAGCGACGCCGCGUGGGUGAAGGAGCGUUUCGGCGCGUAAAGCCCUAUCAGCAGGGAAGAAGAAGUGACGGUACCUGAGUAAGAAGCACCGGCUAAAUACGUGCCAGCAGCCGCGGUAAUACGUAUGGUGCAAGCGUUAUCCGGAUUUACUGGGUGUAAAGGGAGCGCAGGCGGCACGGCAAGCCUGAUGUGAAAGCCCGCGGCCCAACCGCGGGACUGCAUUGGGAACUACCGGGCUGGAGUGCCGGAGAGGUAGGCGGAAUUCCUGGUGUAGCGGUGAAAUGCGUAGAUAUCAGGAGGAACACCGGUGGCGAAGGCGGCCUGCUGGACUGCAACUGACGUUGAGGCCCGAAAGCGUGGGGAGCAAACAGGAUUAGAUACCCCAGUAUG
rnacentral:rRNA from 1 species